rnacentral:rRNA from 1 species
GCUCAGAACGAACGCUGGCGGCAGGCCUAACACAUGCAAGUCGAACGAACCUUCGGGUUAGUGGCGCACGGGUGCGUAACGCGUGGGAAUAUGCCCAUAGGUAAGGAAUAACUCACCGAAAGGUGUGCUAAUACCUUAUAAUGACUCCGGUCCAAAGAUUUAUCGCCUAUGGAUUAGCCCGCGUCUGAUUAGCUUGUUGGUGAGGUAAUGGCUCACCAAGGCGAUGAUCAGUAGGGGGUCUGAGAGGAUGAUCCCCCACACUGGUACUGAGACACGGACCAGACUCCUACGGGAGGCAGCAGUGAGGAAUAUUGGACAAUGGAGGAAACUCUGAUCCAGCCAUGCCGCGUGAGUGAAGAAGGCCUUAGGGUUGUAAAGCUCUUUCAAUAGUGAAGAUAAUGACGGUAACUAUAGAAGAAGCCCCGGCUAAAUUCGUGCCAGCAGCCGCGGUAAUACGAAUGGGGCAAGCGUUGUUCGGAAUCACUGGGCUUAAAGCGUGCGUAGGCGGAUUGCCAAGUCAGGAGUGAAAUCCCGGGGCUCAACCCCGGAACUGCUCUUGAAACUGGCAGUCUAGAAUCCGAUAGAGGUCAGGAGAAUUCCUAGUGUAGAGGUGAAAUUCGCAGAUAUUAGGAGGAAUACCAGUGGCGUAGGCGCCUGACUGGGUCGGUAUUGACGCUGAGGUACGAAAGCGUGGGGAGCAAACAGGAUUAGAUACCCUGGUAGUCCACGCCGUAAACGAUGUGUGCUAGUUGUCGGGUCUUCGGGCUCGGUGACGGAGCGAAAGUAUUAAGCACACCGCCUGGGGAGUACGGCCGCAAGGUUAAAACUCAAAGGAAUUGACGGGGACCCGCACAAGCGGUGGAGCAUGUUGUUUCAUUCGAAGCAACGCGAAG